AUGUUCUAUCCCUCUCAAUCCCCACUGUCAAACACACAGCAUCCACACCAUCAAACCCCCACCUUCACACCCGAUUCCCUUGUUUCACCGGCGACUAGCCGGUGUCGGCACAACUCAGGCAACCGGCCUCCCUUCUCCGACGCGACCACCCUCUCCCUUCGUCUUUCACGCACUCCCACACGACCCUUCCUCCCUUUGACGGACGAACGACCACCACGACCGCCGUCAGGUGGUGGCGUGAAGACAAGACAGAGAGAGACGAGUCGAAGGCGGUUCGACGACGACUAUUGACGACAAUAGUACUGUGAGCGACGGCCGCUGGCGGCGGAGCCGCGGCAGCAGUGGGUUCGACACGGGUGGCGGCGGCCUGUGAUGGUCCUCCGACGGAUUUUCCAAACAGGUUCAAGCAACAACUCAACAGGUUUACUCCUUUCAGUUUUCGGUUCGGGUUUUAGUUGCAUCUCGGUUUGGUUUGGGUCACGCUUCGACUCGUGUUUCAAGUUCUGGUCAGUUGUCUUGGUCCGAGUCUCGGUUCAGCCGGAGAACCGAAGCCGCCGGAGACACGGUCAUCGCCGGAGAUCAAGAAGAUGAUUGGAGAACAAAUCAGAAACGCCCAAACUGAGUUCGGUUUUGAGAUGACGUUGAUGAUGUAUGGAAUCUAGUAGGAUAC
rnacentral:lncRNA from 1 species